rnacentral:rRNA from 1 species
UAACUGAAGAGUUUGAUCAUGGCUCAGAUUGAACGCUGGCGGCAGGCUUAACACAUGCAAGUCGAGCGGGGGAAGGUAGCUUGCUACCGGACCUAGCGGCGGACGGGUGAGUAAUGCUUAGGAAUCUGCCUAUUAGUGGGGGACAACAUCUCGAAAGGGAUGCUAAUACCGCAUACGUCCUACGGG